rnacentral:tRNA from 1 species
GCAGUGGUUGCUUAGUGGCAGAAUUCUCCCUUCCCUGCAGGAGACCUGGGUUCAAUUCCCAGCCAAUGCA